UUGGGUUGUAAACCUCUUUUCUCAGGGAAUAAGAAAGUGAAGGUACCUGAGGAAUAAGCAUCGGCUAACUCCGUGCCACCAACCGCGGUAAUACGGAGGAUGCAAGCGUUAUCCGCAAUGAUUGGGCGUACAGCGUCCGCAGGUGGCACUGUAAGUCUGCUGUUAAAGAGCAAGGCUCAACCUUGUAAAGGCAGUGGAAACUACAGAGCUAGAGUACGUUCGGGGCAGAGGGAAUUCCUGGUGUAGCGGAAAUGCGUAGAGAUCAGGAAGAACACCGGUGGCGAAAGCGCUCUGCUAGGCCGUAACUGACACUGAGGGACGAAAGCUAGGGGAGCGAAUGGGAUUAGAUACCCCAGUAGUCCUAGCCGUAAACGAUGGAUACUAGGCGUGGCUUG
rnacentral:rRNA from 1 species